rnacentral:rRNA from 1 species
UACGUAGGGUGCAAGCGUUGUCCGGAAUUAUUGGGCGUAAAGGGCUCGUAGGCGGUCUGUUGCGUCAGGAGUGAAAACUCGGGGCUUAACCCCGAGCCUGCUUCUGAUACGGGCAGACUAGAGGUAUGCAGGGGAGAACGGAAUUCCUGGUGUAGCGGUGAAAUGCGCAGAUAUCAGGAGGAACACCGGUGGCGAAGGCGGUUCUCUGGGCCUGUUCUGACGCUGAGGAGCGAAAAGCAUGGGGGAGCGAACAGG